rnacentral:rRNA from 1 species
UGCCCAGGGGACGUGGAUAACCUCGGGAAACUGAGGAUAAACCGCGAUAGGUCAUAAUAUCUGGAAUGAUUUCUGGCUAAAAUCUAUAUGGCCCCUGGAUUGGACUGCGGCCGAUCAGGCUGUUGGUGAGGUAAUGGCCCACCAAACCUAAAACCGGUACGGGCUCUGAGAGGAGAAGCCCGGAGAUGGGCACUGAGACAAGGGCCCAGGCCCUAUGGGGCGCAGCAGGCGCGAAAACUCUGCAAUAAGCGAAAGCUUGACAGGGUUAUUCUGAGUGAUUUCCGCUAAGGAAAUCUUUUGGCACCUCUAAAAAUGGUGCAGAAUAAGGGGUGGGCAAGCCUGGUGUCAGCCGCCGCGGUAAUACCAGCACCCCGAGUGGUCGGGACGAUUAUUGGGCCUAAAGCAUCCGUAGCCGGUUCUACAAGUCUUCCGUUAAAUCCACCUGCUUAACAGAUGGGCUGCGGAGGAUACUAUGGAGCUAGGAGGCGGGAGAGGCAAGCGGUACUUAGUGGGUAGGGGUAAAAUCCGUUGAUCCAUUGAAGACCACCAGUGGCGAAGGCGGCUUGCCAGAACGCACUCGACGGUGAGGGAUGAAAGCUGGGGGAGCAAA